rnacentral:lncRNA from 1 species
UCAUAUAAGGAAUAGAACGCUAGUAUCUUACUUGUAUCUCAGAAACUAUUAAAAGCUUUGCCCUAAGCGCACCCAAGGCCUUUUCCAGAUCAUGAGUCAAAUUUCCCCAGCUUUUGAUUAUGGUUUAAACUAUACUGGCAACUUGAGAAGUUUACAUUCUGAGAUUGUUCCAGGUUACAAUGAACUUCCACCCUAGGACUCUCGAGUAUGAUUUGGAAUUGUGGAAGUGAUAAUCAUAUCACAAUCUUUGUGAUAAUCAUAGCAUCACAUUACUUUAGAGCACCAAGAGACUUACAGAAUCAUGCUCUCUGAUCAGAGCAUUUUACGAAAGGGAAAACUGAACUAAGCCAAAAACUUAGUUUGGAGGGGACACCCUAACCAGCCUCAAGAUCACUGAAGCCCUGUACAAGGUUUUUCUCCCACACUGGAAUGUCACUGCUGGUGUCCUAGGUAGGUCUCCAGAGAAAGAACUCAUUUCAACCUUAAUUAAAGCAUGCAAUUAUUCAAUUCUAUAUAUGUCUGCAUAGAACGAGAGAUAGACAUAGCUAUAGGUAGAAAAUCAAUAUCAUAAACUUCAUUGAUCUUGUUUUUAAUGAAGAGAAGAAUGAAGGAGAAAACAAAAAGUGAUCCCAUAAUCUCAGAGCCCUGAUAACUCCUGUUGAUACUUAAAUCUUUAUAUUUUUAAUACCUUUAUCUCUUCUGUUUUAAUAAUAUAAAUGUAGUCACCAUUUCUUAACCAGUUACUAUGCACCAGGUCUUGUUCUG